rnacentral:rRNA from 1 species
UUUAUAAGUGGUGAAGUGGGGACGAAGAAGGCUAGGUGAGCCAGGCGUUGGUUGUCCUGGUACUUGCAUGUAGGGGGGAAGACUUGGCAAAUCCGGUUUUCCAUAACUCUGAGGUGCGAAGUGGUUCUGACCUUUUGGUACAGAGAAGUCAUUGAUGCCCGGCUUCCAGGAAAAGCUGCUAGCCAUAACUUAUAGAGAACCGUACCGCAAACCGACACAGGUGGACAGGUAGAGAAUACUAAGGCGCUUGAGAGAACUCGGGUGAAGGAACUAGGCAAAAUGGUACCGUAACUUCGGGAG